ensembl:lncRNA
CAUUACACGGAUGUUUUUCUUUCCCUUUUCAUUUCUGCCAUCCAACUCUUGCAAAUCACUCAAGGCAACCAAGGAAGACCAAGGAUCUGGAAAAUGCAAGUCCCAGGGGCUCUUCUCUUCCUCGUCAUGGAACGAGUCCCAAAGUGCUGUGCUGCAAGCCCAACCUCCCUGUGGCCUGUGGUGCUCCUCACUCUGUGGAGAGUCGUUGACUCCUGAUGAAGCAAGCAUGAAGGAGGGUCUCUGAACGCUUUGACUAACACAGAUGUAUCUGUUCCAUUUAGGCAUUUUGAAAUUUAAGAAACUUUCUUAAAUACAUUUCUAUGCAGGCUUCCAUUACUUGCCUGAUCCCCAAGUACAUGCAAUAAUGCAGUAUGUUAACAUAUAAACUGAAUUCCAACUAUGAUAUAUGAUAAUAUGAUAUAUUAAAG